AAAGUUCGACUAAGUUAUGCUAAUUAGGGCUGGUCAACUUCGUGCCAGCCACCGCGGUCAUACGAACAGCCCAAAUUAAUAGAACCCGGCGUAAAGAGUGGUUAUGACAUUCACACACUAAAGUUAAAUUUAACCUUAGCUGUAAAAAGCUAAAGGUCUAAAAUUAAAUACCCUACGAAAGUGACUUUAACAAAUCAGAAUCCACGAUAGCUAAGAUACAAACUGGGAUUAGAUACCCCACUAUGCCUAGCCUUAAACCUAGUUAAUUAGUAACAAAAUUACUCGCCAGAGAACUACGAGCAAAAGCUUAAAACUCAAAGGACUUGGCGGUGCUUUAUAUCCACCUAGAGGAGCCUGUUGUAUAAUCGAUAAACCCCGCUAAACCCUACCAUCAUUUGCUAAUCCAGUCUAUAUACCGCCAUCUUCAGCAAACCCUUAAAAGGAAUCAAAGUAAGCUUAAUUAUACUUAAUAAAAACGUUAGGUCAAGGUGUAACUUAUAUGAUGGAAACUAAUGGGCUACAUUCUCUUUAAAAGAGUACUACGAACACCC
rnacentral:rRNA from 1 species